rnacentral:snRNA from 1 species
GUGCUUGCUUCGGCAGCACAUAUACUAAAAUGGAAAGAUACAGAGAAGAUUAGCGUGGCCCCGUGCAAGGGAUGACAUGCAAAUUCGUGAAGCGUUCCAGUUAUUU